AACAUUCACAAUUAGUCCUAUUUUUUCUUUGUGGAGAUGGUAAGUUGGUGAUAGAGGUGCAUGAUGCAGCAUGCUGUGACUACUGUUGAUCACCUUGCCAUGUCCAAAUAAUAUCCUUGAGUGAUGGCCUAAUGUCCUCUUUCAUCAUCCUUUGAUACUCCAAUGUGUCACCAUUAGUUUUCUUCAACUCAACUAAGAGAAAAGGAGCAACCUCAGAAACCUCUGCAUCAAGCUCAAGUCUGCCCUUCCUUCCUUCCUUCGUCGUAGCCAAUUUAAGCACUCCAUUGUCAGUUUUUGUAACUUUGAGAUUCAAGGCUUUGGCCAGUUCCUUCAGCUUCACAAGUACAGCUGCAGCUGGCUUUCUGGAUGUAAACAGUGACUCUCUUCGGCCAUAUCUUUCACCAAAUAAACCUGAUAGAUCGAAUCCAGUAGAGAGAGAAAUGAUGUCAAAUGCAUUCAAGUUGUGUAGGUUUGGUGGCUCUUGAUUUCUCUCAGAACUGAUGCAGAUUGUUGGGCCAGAGAAAGGAGCCUCACUUGUACAACUCUUCUUUCCUGUUUCGUUGUUCAAUGCAGAUAUGGCGAUGGGUUUCCUGUACCAAGCACUUCUCUUUAUCCUUGAGAUAGACAUCCUAGUACUAGGAUCAGGAUCAAGGAUUCCAUAAAGGAGCUCCUUUAGCUCAGCUGAAAAAUGACGAGGGCAUCUAUACUCAGCCUUUGCGAUCUUCCUAUACAUUUGUAUGAUAUUUCUAUCAUGGAAAGGAAGAUAAUUGGCCACAAGCACAAACAGAAUCACUCCACAAGACCACACAUCCGCCUUUGAGCCACUAUAGCCUUUCCUACUAAGCACUUCUGGAGCAACAUAAGCUGGAGUUCCACAUGCGGUGUGGAGAAGACCAUCUUGUCUCCUUGAUUCAGCUAACGCACUUAAUCCAAAGUCAGAGACUUUAAGGGUUUCAUUCUCAUCCAGUAGUAAGUUUUCCGGCUUCAAGUCACGAUGAUAAACACCUCGGCUAUGGCAAUAGUCCAUUGCAGAGAUCAACUGUUGAAAAUAAUUUCUCGCAGACUCCUCAUUGAGCUUUGCUCUGGCCAUUUUGUGGAAAAGCUCGCCACCCUUAGCAUACUCUAAAGCAAAGUAAAUAUUGCUCUUGGUAGCCAUUACCUCGAAGAGCUGGAGAACAUUUGGAUGCCUCACCAAUCUCAUUAUCGAGAUCUCCCUCUUUAUCUGCUCCAUGAGGCCAACCUUCAAGAUCUUCUCCUUAUCAAUCAUCUUUAUCGCAACAGACUGACCAGAACUAAGAUUACGAGCAUAAUAAACCUUUCCAAAGGUUCCUUGCCCCAAUUGUCUCCCAAUUACAUACCGUUCCAU
rnacentral:sRNA from 1 species